rnacentral:rRNA from 1 species
UACGAAGGGGGGCUAGCGUUGCUCGGAAUUACUGGGCGUAAAGCGCACGUAGGCGGCUCUUUAAGUCGGGGGCUCAACCCUCGAAUGCCGGUGGAUACUGUCGGGCUAGAGUGCGGAAGAGGCGAGUGGAAUUCCUGGUGUAGCGGUGAAAUGCGCAGAUAUCAGGAGGAACACCUAUUGCGAAGGCAGCUCGCUGGGGACGUUACUGACGCUGGAG